GGUUGUCGUCAGCUCGUGUCGUGAGAUGUGGUUAAGUCCGCAACGAGCGCAACCCCUAUUGUUAGUUGCCAUCAUUCAGUUGGGCACUCUAGCGAGACUGCCGGUAAUAAACCGGAGGAAGGUGGGGAUGACGUCAAAUCAUCAUGCCCCUUAUGACCUGGGCUACACACGUGCUACAAUGGUUGGUACAACGAGUUGCGAGUCGGUGACGGCGAGCUAAUCUCUUAAAGCCAAUCUCAGUUCGGAUUGUAGGCUGCAACUCGCCUACAUGAAGUCGGAAUCGCUAGUAAUCGCGGAUCAGCACGCCGCGGUGAAUACGUUCCCGGGCCUU
rnacentral:rRNA from 1 species